UAAUAAUGGUUCCUUCCACCAGGCUGAGACCACUGAGCUCACCUGAUCUCAUAGGCUCUGGGGAUGUACCACCUGGAGAUGGAGCAGAAACGCCUAUCUUCAGAAGUCAGAUUUGCUUUCUCCAAGGGAAUGAGUGGAGAAAAGCCCAAGUGUCCCGCCCACCGGCCUGCCCUGUGGACUUUGGAUUCAAGGCUGAAGCAGAAACACUUCCCUGAGUUUCAGCCUGCGGCCCGCCCUACAGAUUUCAGAGUCACUAGUCCCCACAAUUGCGUGGUCCAGUUCCCCGGGAGAGAUUUCUCUCCCUCUCUCUUGCGUUUAUUUGUGUGUGUGUCUGUAUUUAUAUUUGUCUAUAUUCUACUGUGCAGAAAGAUGUUCUUCCACCAUAUGAUAAUGCAGCUAGAAGGCCCUCACCAGACACCAGCACCUUGAUCUUGUUCUUCCCAGCCUCCAGAACUGUGAAAAAAUAUAUUUCUGUUCACUAUAAAUUAUCCAGACUGUGGUAAGACUGGAAAACCGUCUUCAACAGACUAAGAAACGCAGUCACUGUGCACAGGAGAGCAACACAAACCUCUGAUAUGUUAAGUCAGUGGUUCUCCAAGAGGCAAUGUCUGGCAAUAUUUUUGGUUGUCACUACUGGGAACGGGGUGGGGAGCUAGUACUGGAAUCUAGCAGGCAGACACCAGGGAUGUGGCUAAAUAUCCUGCAAUGCACAGGACAGCCCCCACAACUAGGAAUUAUUCAGCCCAAAUAUCAGUAGUGCUGAAGUUCAGAAUCCCUGCUCUAAAAUGUGGGCGGCUUUAGAGAAGAGAUGUUGCCAUUGUCCUGCUGAAAACCCUCCCAUGGCCUCUAUCACACUCAGGAUAGAUUUCCAGUCCCACACUUUGAUCCACAAAGCCCCACAGGACCUGGAUCCUGCCCACCACCCCUCCCACCUCACAUCCCACUUCUUUCUCUCACCCACUCUGGACCUCUUUCCAACCUAAGGAUUUCACACUUGCUGUUAAAUCCUUGAAUACAUUUCUCCCUGUUCUUCCAGGUAUUCAGUUAUGGCUUAAAUAUCACCUCGUCCAAAAAUACCUCCCCUUGUUGCAGUCUGUAUUAGAGUCAUUUCCACCUCUUGAUUCUCUAUUAUUGUACCACAUUGCUAUGAUCAUUUCAUAGCAAUGACCGUGAUGUAAUGUGCCGUGCUGCCUUGUCAGGGUGGGGUAGAGGUGGUGUCUGCCUUCCCCCUGGAGCAUGAGGAACAUGAGGACCAGACAAAUAAUGGAAAGAGACAUCUUUGUAGUUGGAUACCCUCGGAUUUUAAUUCUGGUUCCAGCACCGUCUAUGAGUCCCCUCACUCUCCCGGCCUCCAUCUCCUCAUCUGCAGAAUUAAAUGGGAUAGUGUACAGAGAGCACUUGGCCCAAUUACCAGCAGAGAAUAGUCACUUGAAAGGUAUGUUGACUAUCAAAUGCACGAAAGUGUAAGGACAGUCAAGUCCCUGCAGGCUGUUGUUUUAGGGAUGACCUCUCGGGAGGAAAGUGGAAUUGGGGUGCCCGGGUGGAAGCUUCUUGGAAUGGAAGGAUGGAGAAGGUGUGUGCUCAUGAGCAGAGCUCAGUUUCCCCAGGCAGCGUCUGCAUCUCCCUCUCUUAAAGACACAGCACCGCAGAGGCUGGCAAGCUCUCAUUCCUCCUUUAAAACUGCGACCCUAGCUCCCUUCCUUCAAGUCACUGUCCCCAGGGCUGUUCUCCCUGAUGCCUCUCUCUUGCAGGACCCAAGAGGGAGGCAGCCACCACCAUGAUGGUCCUUCUUUUGAGAAGCACACCCCUCCUCCAAGGGCACCUCCCAGCACUGUCUCUAUCUGUGCCUGUCUAGACCAGGCAGGAAAUUAAAGUGGGUAUCAGGGCAUUUGCAAUAAAUAGCUCAGACCUCAGACUGAGACCUGUGAGUGUCUACAAAAAGGAAUGUGAUUGAGGGACCUCUUUCAAAUACAGUCUUACAUCAGACUGUUGGGGCCACAGAGAAAUUUGGAUUGUUUCCACCUCUGCAUGUAUGAAGGGUAAGGACAGCAGGGAGCUGUCCAUCUUCUCUGCAGGGAGGAUGCAGAGAAGGUGGCAAACCAGUGGGGAGACAGGUCCAGGAGCCCUGUCUCCUGGGAGAGGCAGGGGACUGUGAGCUUAGGUGCUCCGGCACCACUAUGGGUAGGCCAGUGGACCUCCCACCUCCCUGAGCCUCCAUUCCCUCAUCUGUGAGGUGGACAUGUUAUCAUACCUGCAGCUUAGGCUGGAGUGAAACCUCAGUGAGUUAAAAUAUGUAAAGCACUCUGAUCUUUAAGAUCUUCCUUCUCCUGAUUUUGGGCUUAGUUUGUUCUUUUCCUAAUUCCUUGAGUUGUAAUGUUAAGUCCCUUAACUGAGAUCUUCCUUCUUUUUUGAUGUAGGCACUUAUUAUAAAUCUUUCUUCUUUUUGAUGGAGGCACUUGUUCAUUGCAGCAUUACUCACAAUAGCUAAGAUAUGAAAGCAGCCUAAAUGUCUAUCAACAGAUGAGCGGAUAAAGAAACCGUGGUACAUAUAUGUACGCAACGGAAAAUAUUCAGCACUAAAAGGGGGGAAUCUGUCAUUUUUGACAAUGUGGAUAAACCUGGAGGACAUCAUGCUGAGUUAAGUAAGCCAAGCACAGAAAGACAAAUACCGCAUGACCUUACUUACCUGUGGAAUCGAACAAAGCUGAGCUCACAGAAGCGGAGGGUAGGAUGGUAGUUAGCAGAGGCUGUGGGAGAGGGGUGGAUAGGGAAAGGAGAUGUCGAUCAAAGGGCAGAAAGCCUCAGUUGGACAGGAGGAGUAAGCAUUAGCGAGUUACUGCACAGCACGGUGACUAUAAUAAAUAGUAAUGCAAUGUAUAUUGCAAAAUUGCUAAAAGAGUAAAUUUUAAAUGAUUUAACCACAAAAAGGAGGGAGGUAUGUAUGGGAGGUGAUUUGUUAAUUAGCCCGACUGAAUCAUCCCACAUUGUCACCAUCUAUCAAAACAUCACUUGUACCCCAUACAUAUGUACAGUUAUUAUUUGUCAAUUAAAAAUAAAAUUUUAGGCCAGGCACGGUGGCUCAAGCCUGUAAUCCCAGCACUUUGAGAGGCCGAGGCGGGUGGAUCACGAGGUCAAGAGAUCGAGACCAUCCUGGUCAACAUGGUGAAACCCCGUCUCUACUAAAAAUACAAAAAAUUAGCUGGGCAUGGUGGCAUGUGCCUGUAAUCCCAGCUACUCAGGAGGCUGAGGCUGGAGAAUUGCUUGAACCCAGGAGGUGGAGGUUGCAGUGAGCCGAGAUCACACCAUUGCACUCCAGCCUGGAUAACAAGAGGGAAACUCUGUCUCAAAAAAUAAAAAAAUAAAUAAAUAAAAUAAAAAUUUUAAAACUAUUUUCAGCACCUCUUGAGAGUGGCCUGGUCAGGAUGACUUGCUUCUAAAACAUAGAAAAGGAAAGUGGGGAAAAGUGACUUUGCAGUGGAGAGACCUGGAAGACACUACCUCGAGCCAGGUGACUGAGGUCACUAUCCAUGAAGUCUUUCAACACACAUACCUCUGAUAUGAUGUGAUGAAGAUGCUAUUUCAUCUCUGUGGUGUUCCUCCCCAAAACUCAUAACCCCAUGCAAAGGCAGAGAAAAAUAUCACAUAAAUCCACACCGAGGCAUAUUCUAUAAGAUACCCGUUUGGUAUUGUUUAAAAUGAUCAAGGUCAACAGAAACAAGGAAAGUCUGAGAAUUUGUCACCAAGUAGAGGAGACUAGGAGACGUGAGAGUUAAAUUCGGUGUGGUGUCCUGCACGGGACCUUCAUGUGGAGAAUGACAUUGGGAAAACUGGUGACAUCCAGUAAAGGGUGGAGUUUAACUGACAGCAUGUACCAAGAUUGGUUUCUUGAUGAAUGGACAACAAAGUAAGAUGUUAGCAACGCAGGAAAUGGUGUGGGGGUGUGGGAACUCUGCACCAUCUCUGCAACUUUUCUGUGUGUAUGAAGGUG
rnacentral:lncRNA from 1 species